rnacentral:rRNA from 1 species
GAGGAGGGGGAUAACUNCUGGAANNGGUAGCUAAUACCGCAUGACGUCUUCGGACCAAAGUGGGGGACCUUCGGGCCUCACGCCAUCAGAUGUGCCCAGAUGGGAUUAGCUAGUAGGUGGGGUAAUGGCUCACCUAGGCGACGAUCUCUAGCUGGUCUGAGAGGAUGACCAGCCACACUGGAACUGAGACACGGUCCAGACUCCUACGGGAGGCAGCAGUGGGGAAUAUUGCACAAUGGGCGCAAGCCUGAUGCAGCCAUGCCGCGUGUAUGAAGAAGGCCUUCGGGUUGUAAAGUACUUUCAGCGAGGAGGAAGGCAUUGUGGUUAAUAACCNCAGUGAUUGACGUUACUCGCAGAAGAAGCACCGGCUAACUCCGUGCCAGCAGCCGCGGUAAUACGGAGGGUGCAAGCGUUAAUCGGAAUUACUGGGCGUAAAGCGCACGCAGGCGGUUGAUUAAGUCAGAUGUGAAAUCCCCGAGCUUAACUUGGGAACUGCAUUUGAAACUGGUCAGCUAGAGUCUUGUAGAGGGGGGUAGAAUUCCAGGUGUANCCGGUGAAAUGCGUAGAGAUCUGGAGGAAUACCGGGUGGCGAAGGCGGCCCCCUGGACAAAGACUGACGCUCAGGUGCGAAAGCGUGGGGGAGCAAAC